rnacentral:rRNA from 1 species
AAGUGGCUGGAAUAAGUAGUGUAGCGGUGAAAUGCAUAGAUAUUACUUAGAACACCAAUUGCGAAGGCAGGUCACUAUGUCUUAACUGACGCUGAUGGACGAAAGCGUGGGGAGCGAACAGGAUUAGAUACCCUGGUAGUCCACGCCGUAAACGAUGCUAACUCGUUUUUGGGUCUUCGGAUUCAGAGACUAAGCGAAAGUGAUAAGUUAGCCACCUGGGGAGUACGUUCGCAAGAAUGAAACUCAAAGGAAUUGACGGGGGCCCGCACAAGCGGUGGAUUAUGUGGUUUAAUUCGAUGAUACGCGAGGAACCUUACCAAGGCUUAAAUGGGAAUUGAUCGGUUUAGAAAUAGACCUUCCUUCGGGCAAUUUUCAAGGUGCUGCAUGGUUGUCGUCAGCUCGUGCCGUGAGGUGUUAGGUUAAGUCCUGCAACGAGCGCAACCCCUGUCACUAGUUGCCAUCAUUCAGUUGGGGACUCUAGUGAGACUGCCUACGCAAGUAGAGAGGAAGGUGGGGAUGACGUCAAAUCAUCACGGCCCUUACGCCUUGGGCCACACACGUAAUACAAUGGCCGGUACAGAGGGCAGCUACACAGCGAUGUGAUGCAAAUCUCGAAAGCCGGUCUCAGUUCGGAUUGGAGUCUGCAACUCGACUCUAUGAAGCUGGAAUCGCUAGUAAUCGCGCAUCAGCCAUGGCGCGGUGAAUACGUUCCCGGGCCUUGUACACACCGCCCGUCAAGCCAUGGAAGUCUGGGGUACCUGAAGUCGGUGACCGUAAAAGGAGCUGCCUAGGGUAAAACAGGUAACUAGGGCUAAGUCGUAACAAGGUAGCCGUACCGGAAGGUGCGGCUG